rnacentral:rRNA from 1 species
UACAGAGGGUGCAAGCGUUAAUCGGAAUUACUGGGCGUAAAGCGUGCGCAGGCGGUGAUGUAAGACAGGUGUGAAAUCCCCGGGCUAACCUGGGAACUGCAUUUGUGACUGCAUCGCUGGAGUGCGGCAGAGGGGGAUGGAAUUCCGCGUGUAGCAGUGAAAUGCGUAGAUAUGCGGAGGAACACCGAUGGCGAAGGCAAUCCCCUGGGCCUGCACUGACGCUCAUGCACGAAAGCGUGGGGAGCAAACAGG